rnacentral:rRNA from 1 species
GGGGGGACCAUCCUCCAAGGCUAAAUACUCCUGACUGACCGAUAGUGAACCAGUACCGUGAGGGAAAGGCGAAAAGAACCCCGGCGAGGGGAGUGAAAAAGAACCUGAAACCGUGUACGUACAAGCAGUGGGAGCACGCUUAGGCGUGUGACUGCGUACCUUUUGUAUAAUGGGUCAGCGACUUAUAUUCUGUAGCAAGGUUAACCGAAUAGGGGAGCCGAAGGGAAACCGAGUCUUAACUGGGCGUUAAGUUGCAGGGUAUAGACCCGAAACCCGGUGAUCUAGCCAUGGGCAGGUUGAAGGUUGGGUAACACUAACUGGAGGACCGAACCGACUAAUGUUGAAAAAUUAGCGGAUGACUUGUGGCUGGGGGUGAAAGGCCAAUCAAACCGGGAGAUAGCUGGUUCUCCCCGAAAGCUAUUUAGGUAGCGCCUCGUGAAUUCAUCUCCGGGGGUAGAGCACUGUUUCGGCAAGGGGGUCAUCCCGACUUACCAACCCGAUGCAAACUGCGAAUACCGGAGAAUGUUAUCACGGGAGACACACGGCGGGUGCUAACGUCCGUCGUGAAGAGGGAAACAACCCAGACCGCCAGCUAAGGUCCCAAAGUCAUGGUUAAGUGGGAAACGAUGUGGGAAGGCCCAGACAGCCAGGAUGUUGGCUUAGAAGCAGCCAUCAUUUAAAGAAAGCGUAAUAGCUCACUGGUCGAGUCGGCCUGCGCGGAAGAUGUAACGGGGCUAAACCAUGCACCGAAGCUGCGGCAGCGACACUAUGUGUUGUUGGGUAGGGGAGCGUUCUGUAAGCCUGUGAAGGUGUACUGUGAGGUAUGCUGGAGGUAUCAGAAGUGCGAAUGCUGACAUAAGUAACGAUAAAGCGGGUGAAAAGCCCGCUCGCCGGAAGACCAAGGGUUCCUGUCCAACGUUAAUCGGGGCAGGGUGAGUCGACCCCUAAGGCGAGGCCGAAAGGCGUAGUCGAUGGGAAACAGGUUAAUAUUCCUGUACUUGGUGUUACUGCGAAGGGGGGACGGAGAAGGCUAUGUUGGCCGGGCGACGGUUGUCCCGGUUUAAGCGUGUAGGCUGGUUUUCCAGGCAAAUCCGGAAAACUAAGGCUGAGGCGUGAUGACGAGGCACUACGGUGCUGAAGCAACAAAUGCCCUGCUUCCAGGAAAAGCCUCUAAGCAUCAGGUAACAUCAAAUCGUACCCCAAACCGACACAGGUGGUCAGGUAGAGAAUACCAAGGCGCUUGAGAGAACUCGGGUGAAGGAACUAGGCAAAAUGGUGCCGUAACUUCGGGAGAAGGCACGCUGAUAUGUAGGUGAAGUCCCUCGCGGAUGGAGCUGAAAUCAGUCGAAGAUACCAGCUGGCUGCAACUGUUUAUUAAAAACACAGCACUGUGCAAACACGAAAGUGGACGUAUACGGUGUGACGCCUGCCCGGUGCCGGAAGGUUAAUUGAUGGGGUCAGCGCAAGCGAAGCUCUUGAUCGAAGCCCCGGUAAACGGCGGCCGUAACUAUAACGGUCCUAAGGUAGCGAAAUUCCUUGUCGGGUAAGUUCCGACCUGCACGAAUGGCGUAAUGAUGGCCAGGCUGUCUCCACCCGAGACUCAGUGAAAUUGAACUCGCUGUGAAGAUGCAGUGUACCCGCGGCAAGACGGAAAGACCCCGUGAACCUUUACUAUAGCUUGACACUGAACAUUGAGCCUUGAUGUGUAGGAUAGGUGGGAGGCUUUGAAGUGUGGACGCCAGUCUGCAUGGAGCCGACCUUGAAAUACCACCCUUUAAUGUUUGAUGUUCUAACGUUGACCCGUAAUCCGGGUUGCGGACAGUGUCUGGUGGGUAGUUUGACUGGGGCGGUCUCCUCCUAAAGAGUAACGGAGGAGCACGAAGGUUGGCUAAUCCUGG